rnacentral:rRNA from 1 species
AUGCUAUUUCGAUCUAAGUGGUCCUAUUCUCUGUCCCGUGCUAGGAAGCAUUACUCCUCUUUUCAUUCCAAAUUCUUCAAUAAGACCGAUACGAUUGAUUGGUCUGUGUGUUUCUCUUAUUACUUUUUUGUAUCCCCCUGUUCCUCGGAUACAAUUCGAUCCUUCUACGGCCAAAUCUCAAUUUGUGGAAAGCCUUCGAUGGCUUCCUUAUGA